rnacentral:tRNA from 1 species
ACUGGUGGAGGAAUGGGUGUUUGGCUGUUAACCAAAAGGUAGGUGGUUCAAACCCACCCAGCAGCU